rnacentral:lncRNA from 1 species
CUCUUAAGCAAAUAGGUGACUCACCCCAUCUAAUGAUUCUCACAAGGUUCAUGUAAUGCUCUUCCCCUACCUUUAAUCCUUCCAUGUAAGCUGCUUCCGACCAAUGCUCCUGAAGAAAGGUCUUCAGCUCAGGAGCAACACCCUCACUCUCGGAUUUAGCAAUGAUAUCUGCUACAGCAUAAGUAGCUGCCGGAUCGCCUAGGAAGUCAGAUUGGAGGAGAAAUGCUACACCAUCAAGAGAUCCACCACUACGUUCACCAGCAGCCUUCAGAAUUUCGACACUAAGUGCUGCAAGGACCUGCUUGGGUACAUAUGGAAGAAGAUAAGCAGCAAUGUCAACUUGGC